rnacentral:lncRNA from 12 species
UUUGAGCCUGGCCCUGUUUUGCUUCCAUUUGAUCCAUUUGUAACAAGAAAAGCCUCCUGCCUCCCCUGUCCAUGAACCGUGUGGAUAAAUCAUGCCUCCACCUUCUUUUGGGGACUGUCUUCCCUCUGGAAGGACAAUGUUUGAGCUCUCCUAGCUUCCUCAGCCCAAACCUCUCAUUUCUUCUGGUCAUGGGGACAGAAUAGAUACAGAAAAGGAGAGGCAACAGUGAAACUCAUAGAGACGCCAACCAGAUCUCCUCUUUCAUUGCUGUGUUUUUGCAAUGGCUUUGCAGUCUGCUUUGACUGAACACAGACAUCGCUCUGGGUGGAGAGGUUGGGGGUCCACAGGGGAGAGUUCCCAGUUCUGGGUCAGAUCUCAGAGUUCAAAGCCUCUCUCCUGAGGGAUUUGGCUGCUGGUUGGUCCUGGCUUUGUGAAACCAGCCCUUAAAACCCACCUGUGUUCCUGCUGCCGAUUUCGUGCUGUUCACACACAACAAACACCAUCACUGGUGACCCCUCGUGCCUGAGGGUAAGCCCCUUCUCCUCCCGUGGGGUGAGGUCUAAUGCAGAAAUUCUACAAGUCAAGACAUCCUUGAUUAGCAAAUUUCUAUGGGUUAGGUCUAGGAAAUCCCAAACAAGUUCUGUUCCUGGCCGAGUGAGAUACUCAUCAGGUCAGUCGGCUGAAGUCCCUUCUGCUGAGGUGACCUAUUUGGGACAGAUGUUUUAGCUGUGCCAGUCUUGCCACUCUGAUAGCAUCCAAUGGGCUCUUCUGUCCUGACUGGUACCAAAUUUUGGCUUUGUCGCUCAAAACUUCCUCAUAACCAAAGCCUGAAAACCCACAUCCUUAUUUUGAAGUGCCCUCAGACCUUCCCUGGGCAAGGACUACUGGCAGGCUCAUUGCAGCCAGGAGCUCUCCACACCACACUUCAGAACGUGCUUUCCAAUAAACGUCAAUCACUUUUCUCUUCUUAUUCCAGUUUCUGGUGUCUGCAGGCAGAGAGGAUAGUGGUGCUCACAUCUCUGUGGGAUUCCCAGCCUGAAAAGGUUGAAUUCUUCCUGGGAUAUCAGCAUCUGCAUGGCACUGGGCUUGCCAGAGCUCAGGAGAUUCUGUGAUUCUACGAAAUCUCACCUGAGGAUGAAGAUACAACACAGUGGAGGCGAAGCUCAGCGAGGUGAGGAGGAUUCUCUGUAAGGCACUUGUGGUGAUUCCAGCGAGGAGCCUCUUUGUGGGAUAUGUGCUCAGUAGUCUGGAGGAGGAAAUUAUUGAUAGCAGUCUGCCUAAGUAAAUCUAGAGCUCAUGAUCCCCUUCAUCCUAUCACAGCAUUCACUCAUCUGGGCCAAAGGUUAUCCCUGUUCCAGUGCCCACUCUGAAGUUUGGAAUCUGUGCCCAAAAUACUGAGGUUGAGCCCCAUGCUGGGGCAAAAUGCAGAACACUCCUCAUCACUUCCAUAAAUAAGGAAGAGUCGGCAAACCGCAGUCAGGAAACGGCUGAAGGACUAUUUAUAAUCACCUCUAUCUGCAAAGAUAUUUGUGAGACCGGUAGAAAAAAAAUAAAUCCCCACUUCACUCUUCCUGACCCCGGCGCCGUCUGUUUGCUUCGCUCUGAGGCAUUAAAGCUCAUCAGAAAUGUUUGCCAACGGUUAUACAGAAAGGAAGUGUUGCAUUGUAUUUGUUCUUGCCAGCACUGAGCUGCUCCUUCCUUUUCCAGCUGUGGUCGCCUUCGCCCUCUCCUUGGCCGGGAUCGUGUGUGCCCUGAGUGCCCAAAAGGAUCUGCACCGGUGCGAGGUGCAGCACAGACUGGGGAUCCCUGCAACGGACUGAAUGCACUGAAACCCAACUCUGGACAACAGGAGCUCCAAAAACCUCCAGAUUCAGGUACAAAGCUUUUCCCUGCACAACCAUUAGUGAGACUUUCAAUUGCAUCCAAGCCUUGUCAGAAAUGGCAGCGGCUGGGUCAUUGGGAUGGGCUCUGUUUGGGUGAUGCCAGUAAUGCCAUGUCCUGGGGAAAUUCCAGGAGAGCCGAUGCCUCCGACUGUGGAGCUGAUGGUGUGAGCUGGGAUGCAGGUGGGGCUUUGCUCCUCCUGCUCAGGGUGCUUGGUGAAGAGCCAGGAGCUGUGGAGGGCUCAGGAUGCAGCUGAAUUUCAGGAGCAAAUGCCAGGGUGUGGGAGCAUUUACAAGCAUGUGACAUGUAUUUUACCUAUAUAAAACA